GUUUAUUAAUCUGAAUAAAGCUGCUGAAUUAAACGUGUUAGUAAGUUUAACUUAAUGAACCUACCAGUGACAUUGAGGUGACAUUCCUUAAAGUUCUUCCCAUAACUUGUGUCCACUUGACACCAGUACAGCCCCGAGUCAUUAGUCUGGAGUCUGGAGAUGUGAAGUCUGAGUCGUCCUUCUCUGAGGACGUCUUUGUCCCACUGGACUCGUCCUGCAAAGCGUUUAUCCUGCAUCUCUGGGACCUCGACACCGUCAUGUAGCUCAAACAGGGUAAAGGGUCUCUCAUCAGCUAACAUCUCACAGGAGACAUGAAGGGCGUUGGGGGAGGGGUCCGUGCUGGUGGGGAACAUCCAUUCCAGUGAGAUGUUGU
ensembl:lncRNA